rnacentral:rRNA from 1 species
UACAUCGGAACGUGCCCGAGAGUGGGGGAUAACGAAGCGAAAGCUUUGCUAAUACCGCAUACGAUCUCAGGAUGAAAGCAGGGGACCGCAAGGCCUUGCGCUCACGGAGCGGCCGAUGGCAGAUUAGGUAGUUGGUGGGAUAAAAGCUUACCAAGCCGACGAUCUGUAGCUGGUCUGAGAGGACGACCAGCCACACUGGGACUGAGACACGGCCCAGACUCCUACGGGAGGCAGCAGUGGGGAAUUUUGGACAAUGGGCGCAAGCCUGAUCCAGCCAUGCCGCGUGAUCGAUGAAGGCCUUAGGGUUGUAAAGAUCUUUCAGCUGGGAAGAUAAUGACAGUAGCAGAAGAAGAAGCUCCGGCUAAAUUCGUG